rnacentral:tRNA from 1 species
GGGGCGCUAGCUCAGUUGGUAGAGCACCGCCCUUUUAAGGCGGGUGUCCCGGGUCCGAGUCCCGGGCGCCUCA